rnacentral:misc_RNA from 1 species
UCUCCGUUGGUGAACCAGCGGAGGGAUCAUUACAGGACUCGCAAGACUCCUACAACCCUGUGAACUUAACUAUAAGCACGUUGCUUCGGCGGGUGUCUCGGAGAGGGUUCUCCCUCCCCGGGGCACUAAGCCCGCCGGCAGCCUACUAUACUCUGUCUCUUUGCGUUGGCAUCUCGAGUACAAACAAACAAGUUAAAACUUUCAACAACGGAUCUCUUGGUUCUG